rnacentral:rRNA from 1 species
UACGUAGGGAGCAAGCGUUGUCCGGAAUCAUUGGGCGUAAAGCGCGUGUAGGCGGUUACAUAAGGUUGUUGUGAAAGUCGGAGGCUCAACCUUCGAAAGCCGAUGGAUACUGUGUGACUUGAGUACGGAAGAGGAGAGUGGAAUUCCUGGUGUAGCGGUGAAAUGCGCAGAUAUCAGGAGGAACACCAAUGGCGAAAGCAGGUAACUGGACUAUUACUGACACUCAGCUGCGAAAGCUAGGGGAGCAAACAGG